rnacentral:rRNA from 1 species
GACGAACGCUGGCGGCGUGCCUAAUACAUGCCAGUAGAACGCUGAAGCGAGGAGCUUGCUCUUCUUGGAUGAGUUGCGAACGGGUGAGUAACGCGUAGGUAACCUGCCUUGUAGCGGGGGAUAACUAUUGGAAACGAUAGCUAAUACCGCAUAACAAUGGAUGACACAUGUCAUUUAUUUGAAAGGGGCAAUUGCUCCACUACAAGAUGGACCUGCGUCGUAUUAGCUAGUAGGUGAGGUAAUGGCUCACCUAGGCGACGAUACAUAGCCGACCUGAGAGGGUGAUCGGCCACACUGGGACUGAGACACGGCCCAGACUCCUACGGGAGGCAGCAGUAGGGAAUCUUCGGCAAUGGGGGCAACCCUGACCGAGCAACGCCGCGUGAGUGAAGAAGGGUUUCGGAUCGUAAAGUUCUGUUGUAAGUCAAGAACGGGUGUGAGAGUGGAAAGUUCACACUGUGACGGUAGCUUACCAGAAAGGGACGGCUAACUACGUG